UAGGGAAUCUUCCGCAAUGGACGCAAGUCUGACGGAGCAACGCCGCGUGAGUGAAGAAGGAUUUCGGUUCGUAAAACUCUGUUGUUAGAGAAGAACAGCGCAUAGAGUAACUGUUAUGCGUGUGACGGUAUCUAACCAGAAAGCCACGGCUAACUACGUGCCAGCAGCCGCGGUAAUACGUAGGUGGCAAGCGUUGUCCGGAUUUAUUGGGCGUAAAGCGAGCGCAGGCGGUCAAUUAAGUCUGAUGUGAAAGCCCCCGGCUCAACCGGGGAGGGUCAUUGGAAACUGGUUGACUUGAGUGCAGAAGAGGAGAGUGGAAUUCCAUGUGAAGCGGUGAAAUGCGUAGAUAUAUGGAGGAACACCAGUGGCGAAGGCGACUCUCUGGUCUGUAACUGACGCUGAGGUUCGAAAGCGUGGGUAGCAAACAGG
rnacentral:rRNA from 1 species